rnacentral:rRNA from 1 species
UACAGAGGGGGCAAGCGUUAUUCGGAAUUAUUGGGCGUAAAGGGCGCGUAGGCGGCCUUUCAAGUGACGGGUGAAAUCCCUCGGCUUAACCGAGGAACUGCCUGUCAGACUGGGAGGCUUGAGACCGGGAGAGGUGAGUGGAAUUCCCAGUGUAGCGGUGAAAUGCGUAGAUAUUGGGAGGAACACCAGUGGCGAAGGCGGCUCACUGGACCGGAACUGACGCUGAGGCGCGAAAGCGUGGGGAGCGAACAGG